rnacentral:rRNA from 1 species
CAUUACAGAGCUCAUGCCCCCCGGGGUAGACCUCCCACCCCUGAGAUCUCGCCCCUCUGUUGCUUUGGCGGGGCUGGUACCCGCCAGAGGCCUAAACUCGCGUGUCGACGUCGUCCGAGUACUAUAUUCAAUAGUUAAAAACUUUCAACAACGGAUCUCUUGGUUCUGGCAUCGAUGAAGAACGCAGCGAAAUGCGAUAAGUAAUGUGAAUUGCAGAAUUUUAGUGAAUCAUCGAAUCUUUGAACGCACAUUGCGCCCUAUGGCAUUCCGUAGGGCAUGCCUGUUCGAGCGUCAUAGCAACCCUCAAGCCUGGCUUGGUGUUGGGCCUCGCCUCGGGGCGGGCCCCAAAGACAGUGGCGGCGCCCCCGGGCCCUGAGCGUAGUACUUCCCUCGCUACAGGUACCGGGAGGCGCUGGCCAGCAACCACCUUUCUACUGGUUGACCUCGG